GACGAACGCUGGCGGCGUGCUUAACACAUGCAAGUCGAACGGAAAGGCCCUGCUUUUGUGGGGUGCUCGAGUGGCGAACGGGUGAGUAACACGUGAGUAACCUGCCCUUGACUUUGGGAUAACUUCAGGAAACUGGGGCUAAUACCGGAUAGGAGCUCCUGCUGCAUGGUGAGGGUUGGAACGUUUCGGCGGUCGGGGAUGGACUGGCGGGUUAUCAGCUUGUUGGUGGGGUAGUGGCUUACCAAGUCUUUGACCGGUAGCCGGCCUGAGAGGGUGACCGGGCACAAUGGGACUGAGAUACGGCGCAGACGGCUACGUGAGGCAGUAGUGGGGAAUAUUGCACAAUGGGCGGAAGUCUGAUGCAGCAACGCCGCGUGCGGGAUGACGGCCUGCGGGGUGUAAACCGCAGUCGCCUGUUACGAAGCGGGAGUGACGGUAAUGGGUAAAGAAGCACCGGCUAACUACGUG
rnacentral:rRNA from 1 species